GCAGCACGGGGGCAACCCUGGUGGCGAGUGGCGAACGGGUGAGUAAUACAUCGGAACGUGUCCUGUAGUGGGGGAUAGCCCGGCGAAAGCCGGAUUAAUACCGCAUACGCUCUACGGAGGAAAGGGGGGGAUCUUAGGACCUCCCGCUACAGGGGCGGCCGAUGGCAGAUUAGCUAGUUGGUGGGGUAAAGGCCUACCAAGGCGACGAUCUGUAGCUGGUCUGAGAGGACGACCAGCCACACUGGGACUGAGACACGGCCCAGACUCCUACGGGAGGCAGCAGUGGGGAAUUUUGGACAAUGGGCGAAAGCCUGAUCCAGCAAUGCCGCGUGUGUGAAGAAGGCCUUCGGGUUGUAAAGCACUUUUGUCCGGAAAGAAAACCUCCGCCCUAAUAUGGGUGGGGGGAUGACGGUACCGGAAGAAUAAGCACCGGCUAACUACGUGCCAGCAGCCGCGGUAAUACGUAGGGUGCAAGCGUUAAUCGGAAUUACUGGGCGUAAAGCGUGCGCAGGCGGUCCGCUAAGACAGAUGUGAAAUCCCCGGGCUUAACCUGGGAACUGCAUUUGUGACUGGCGGGCUAGAGUAUGGCAGAGGGGGGUAGAAUUCCACGUGUAGCAGUGAAAUGCGUAGAGAUGUGGAGGAAUACCGAUGGCGAAGGCAGCCCCCUGGGCCAAUACUGACGCUCAUGCACGAAAGCGUGGGGAGCAAACAGGAUUAGAUACCCUGGUAGUCCACGCCCUAAACGAUGUCAACUAGUUGUUGGGGAUUCAUUUCCUUAGUAACGUAGCUAACGCGUGAAGUUGACCGCCUGGGGAGUACGGUCGCAAGAUUAAAACUCAAAGGAAUUGACGGGGACCCGCACAAGCGGUGGAUGAUGUGGAUUAAUUCGAUGCAACGCGAAAAACCUUACCUACCCUUGACAUGUAUGGAACCCUGCUGAGAGGUGGGGGUGCCCGAAAGGGAGCCAUAACAC
rnacentral:rRNA from 1 species